UCAUGUAGCAUGAGAUGAUAUUCAGCUGCCUCAUGCUAGUGUUUCAUUUUUGUUUUGGGUUAAUAUGAAAAUUUGGCUCCUUAAUUAUACCAGUUUUAUGGGUUGGUGCCCGUUGAAAAGAAUUAAUAAUUUCAUAU